rnacentral:misc_RNA from 1 species
GGAAGUAAAAGUCGUAAUAAGGUUUCCGUAGGUGAACCUGCGGAAGGAUCAUUACUGAGUGAGGGCCCCUCGGGGUCCAACCUCCCACCCGUGUUUAACGAACCUUGUUGCUUCGGCGGGCCCGCCUCACGGCCGCCGGGGGGCAUUUGCCCCCGGGCCCGCGCCCGCCGAAGCCACCUGUGAACGCUGUCUGAAGUAUGCAGUCUGAGACAAUUAUUAAAUUAAUUAAAACUUUCAACAACGGAUCUCUUGGUUCCG